CCCAUAGCUCAGUUGGUUAGAGCAGUCGACUCAUAAUCGAUUGGUCCCAGGUUCAAGUCCUGGU
rnacentral:tRNA from 1 species